UACGGAGGGGGCAAGCGUUGUUCGGAUUUACUGGGCGUAAAGGGCGCGUAGGCGGUUGGUCAAGUCACUUGUGAAAUCUCCAAGCUUAACUUGGAGCGGCCAAGUGAUACUGAUUAACUAGAGUGCAGAAGGGGCAACUGGAAUUCUCGGUGUAGCGGUGAAAUGCGUAGAUAUCGAGAGGAACACCUGCGGCGAAGGCGGGUUGCUGGGCUGACACUGACGCUGAGGCGCGAAAGCUAGGGGAGCGAACGGG
rnacentral:rRNA from 1 species